GAUGCUAAUACCGAAUAAAACUUAGUGUCGCAUGACACAAAGUUAAAAGGCGCUUCGGCGUCACCUAGAGAUGGAUCCGCGGUGCAUUAGUUAGUUGGUGGGGUAAAGGCCUACCAAGACAAUGAUGCAUAGCCGAGUUGAGAGACUGAUCGGCCACAUUGGGACUGAGACACGGCCCAAACUCCUACGGGAGGCUGCAGUAGGGAAUCUUCCACAAUGGGCGAAAGCCUGAUGGAGCAACGCCGCGUGUGUGAUGAAGGCUUUCGGGUCGUAAAGCACUGUUGUAUGGGAAGAACAGCUAGAAUAGGAAAUGAUUUUAGUUUGACGGUACCAUACCAGAAAGGGACGGCUAAAUACGUGCCAGCAGCCGCGGUAAUACGUAUGUCCCGAGCGUUAUCCGGAUUUAUUGGGCGUAAAGCGAGCGCAGACGGUUUAUUAAGUCUGAUGUGAAAGCCCGGAGCUCAACUCCGGAAUGGCAUUGGAAACUGGUUAACUUGAGUGCAGUAGAGGUAAGUGGAACUCCAUGUGUAGCGGUGGAAUGCGUAGAUAUAUGGAAGAACACCAGUGGCGAAGGCGGCUUACUGGACUGCAACUGACGUUGAGGCUCGAAAGUGUGGGUAGCAAACAGGAUUAGAUACCCUGGUAGUCCACACCGUAAACGAUGAACACUAGGUGUUAGGAGGUUUCCGCCUCUUAGUGCCGAAGCUAACGCAUUAAGUGUUCCGCCUGGGGAGUACGACCGCAAGGUUGAAACUCAAAGGAAUUGACGGGGACCCGCACAAGCGGUGGAGCAUGUGGUUUAAUUCGAAGCAACGCGAAGAACCUUACCAGGUCUUGACAUCCUUUGAAGCUUUUAGAGAUAGAAGUGUUCUCUUCGGAGACAAAGUGACAGGUGGUGCAUGGUCGUCGUCAGCUCGUGUCGUGAGAUGUUGGGUUAAGUCCCGCAACGAGCGCAACCCUUAUUGUUAGUUGCCAGCAUUCAGAUGGGCACUCUAGCGAGACUGCCGGUGACAAACCGGAGGAAGGCGGGGACGACGUCAGAUCAUCAUGCCCCUUAUGACCUGGGCUACACACGUGCUACAAUGGCGUAUACAACGAGUUGCCAACCCGCGAGGGUGAGCUAAUCUCUUAAAGUACGUCUCAGUUCGGAUUGUAGUCUGCAACUCGACUACAUGAAGUCGGAAUCGCUAGUA
rnacentral:rRNA from 1 species